GUCACAAUGAGAACUCUGAUGCGCGAUGCCGCGUGAGUGAAGAAGGCCUUUGGGUUGUAAGCUCUUUUGUAGGGGAAGAUAAUGACUGUACCCUAAGAAUAAGGUCCGGCUAACUUCGUGCCAGCAGCCGCGGUAAUACGAAGGGACCUAGCGUAGUUCGGAAUUACUGGGCGUAAAGCGCGCGUAGGCCGUUGAGUUAGUUAAUUGUGAAAUCCCAAAGCUUAACUUUGGAACUGCAAUUAAAACUGCUCGACUAGAGUUUGAUAGAGGAAAGCGGAAUACAUAGUGUAGAGGUGAAAUUCGUAGAUAUUAUGUAGAACACCAGUUGCGAAGGCGGCUUUCUGGGUCAACACUGACGCUGAGGCGCGAAAGUAUGGGUAGCAAAGAGGAUUAGAUACCCUCGUAGUCCAUACCAUAAACGAUGAUUGCUAGAUGUUGGAAAUUUAUUUUCAGUAUCGCAGCUAACGCAUUAAGCAAUCCGCCUGGGGAGUACGACCGCAAGGUUAAAACUCAAAUGAAUUGACGGGGACCCGCACAAGCGGUGGAGCAUGUGGUUUAAUUCGAAG
rnacentral:rRNA from 1 species